rnacentral:rRNA from 1 species
CAGCCGCCGCGGUAAUACAGAGGGUGCAAGCGUUAAUCGGAUUUACUGGGCGUAAAGCGUGCGUAGGCGGCUUCUUAAGUCGGAUGUGAAAUCCCUGAGCUUAACUUAGGAAUUGCAUUCGAUACUGGGAAGCUAGAGUAUGGGAGAGGAUGGUAGAAUUCCAGGUGUAGCGGUGAAAUGCGUAGAGAUCUGGAGGAAUACCGAUGGCGAAGGCAGCCAUCUGGCCUAAUACUGACGCUGAGGUACGAAAGCAUGGGGAGCAAACAGGAUUAGAUACCCGCGUAGUCCCUGUCUCUUAUAC